UGAUGACGUACGCCAUGUCAGAGGUGAAGACAAAGGGCGCACGGUCCCUGCCAAAACAAUCCCCCCAGCAACACAGACACAUUAACAUGCCCAGGAUGUAGGUGGCCACGCAACAGCCUGCGCAGGAGUAGAUGAAGUUCUCCACCGCCUGAGAAAGCAUCCUCCAGGAAAGAGCAGACCAGCAUGCACCAGCACAGCCGCCAGGACUGACUCACAUCCCGCCGCUGCUUCUUGUUAGCGCAGCAG